rnacentral:misc_RNA from 1 species
AGUCAUCAACCCCUCCCGUUUCGUGCGUGGAGAAGGUUGGAGGUGGGGGCUUGCGGUCGUGAGGCCGCUCCCCUCAAAUGCUUCGGUCGGGCCUGUGGGUCGGACUCGGUUGGGCGUUGUACCAUCCUCGCUCUCCUCCGAGAACUUCCCCGUCGAUAGAGCCCUUCCCCGGCCUCCUAUGGAGCGGUGGCCAAACAAACACUUUUGAA